GCGCAGAGAGGAGGGGCGGGCGGGGCGGGAGAGGGCCGGCGUUACAGACCCCACCUCAUUGGCUUUCCGGCCGGCCGGAAGCGGCGGUGCACUUCGGCUGCGCAUGCGCUCCUCACACGUGCUUCCAGAACGCCCCCUCCGCUGCCGCGGCUAGGCCGGCAUCAUGGUGCAGUUUUCUGCCCUGCGGCUGCUAAGACGGCCGGGGACGAGAGGAGUCUCGCUCCUGGAGUACUCUACUCCCCGCCACUACAGUUCGGCCCCUCUCCGUGCCCGCGACGAUGCUCGCGACGCGCGCGCUUUCUUCACGACACCCAUUUUCUACGUGAACGCGGCGCCGCACAUCGGGCACCUGUACUCGGCGCUACUGGCAGACGCCUUGUGCCGCCACCGUCGCCUCCGAGUUCCCAGCGCCGCCGCCACGCGAUUCUCCACUGGUACCGACGAGCAUGGCCUGAAGAUUCAGCAAGCAGCAGCCGCUGCGGGCCUGGCCCCGACCGAGCUGUGCGACCGAGUCUCUGCCCAGUUCCAGCAGCUUUUUCGGGAGGCUGGCAUCUCCUCUACCGACUUCAUCCGCACCACCGAAGUCCGGCACCGGAUCGCUGUGCAGCAUUUCUGGGGAUUGCUGAAGGCGCGGGGUCUGCUCUACAAGGGUCUCUAUGAAGGUUGGUAUUGCGCCUCCGAAGAGUGCUUCCUGCCUGAGGCCAAGGUCACCAGGCAGCCGAGUUCCUCGGGGAAUUCGUGUCCUGUGUCUUUAGAGAGUGGGCAUCCCGUAGUCUGGACCAAGGAAGAAAACUACAUUUUCAGGCUUUCUCAGUUCCGAGAGCCUCUUCAGCAGUGGCUGCGGGGCGACCCUCAGGCAAUCACCCCUGAGCCAUUUCAUCACGCAGUUCUUCAGUGGCUAGAGGAGGAGCUGCCAGACCUGUCAGUCUCUCGAAGGAGCAGCCACUUGCAUUGGGGCAUUCCUGUGCCCGGGGACGACUCGCAGACCAUCUACGUAUGGCUGGAUGCCUUGGUCAACUACCUUACUGUAAUUGGCUACCCAAAUGCUGAGUUCAAAUCUUGGUGGCCAACCACCUCUCAUAUCAUAGGCAAGGACAUUCUUAAAUUCCACGCUAUCUAUUGGCCUGCCCUCCUCUUAGGGGCCGGCAUGAGCCCACCACACCGCAUCUAUGUCCACUCACACUGGACGGUCUGUGGCCAAAAGAUGUCCAAAAGCUUGGGCAACGUGGUGGAUCCCAGGACUUGCCUUGAUCGCUAUACUGUGGAUGGCUUCCGAUACUUUCUUCUUCGGCAGGGCGUCCCCAACUGGGACUGUGAUUACUAUGAUGAAAAGGUGGUUAAGUUGCUAGAUUCCGAGUUGGCAGAUGCUUUGGGAGGUCUCUUGAACCGGUGUACUGCCAAUAGAAUAAAUCCUUCUGGGACCUAUCCGGUUUUCUGCACUACCUGCUUUCCCAGUGAGCCAGGGUUGGUGGGGCCGUCAGUUCGUGCUCAGGCAGAGGACUAUGCUUUGGUGAAUGCAGUGGCCACUCUGCCCAAGCAGGUAGCCGACCACUAUGAUAACUUUCAGAUCUAUAAAGCUCUGGAGGCAGUGUCCAGCUGUGUCCGGCAAACUAAUGGCUUUGUCCAAAGGCAUGCACCGUGGAAGUUGAACUGGGAGAGCCCAGUGGAUGCCCCCUGGCUGGGUACUGUGCUUCAUGUAGCCUUGGAAUGUUUGCGAGUCUUUGGAACUUUGCUCCAGCCUGUCACCCCAAGCCUAGCUGAUAAGCUGCUAUCCAGGUUGGGGGUGUCUGCCACAGAGAGGGGCCUUGGAGAGCUCUGUUUCUUGCCUCGAUUCUAUGGACAUCCAUGUCCUUUUGAAGGGAGGAGGCUGGGACCUGAAACUGGGCUCUUGUUUCCAAGACUAGACCAGUCUAGGGCCUGGCUGGUAAAAGCCCAUAGGACCUAGAAACUUAGUUUUUAAAUUGGCUUGUGGUAAAAAAGCAAAUGUGUUAUUUUCUUAUUUUGCGUUUUUAGGAAAAUUAUGCUAAUGUUUUCUAAAGUGUUGCAUCAUAUGAGCACAUAAACAGUGUCACUGUGAUAAGAGGUUUGUAGCCUUUCAGGUGCCUCCCCUCCUAGUCUUCAGUUCUCUGUGCCCAUUAACCACUAUCCUUUGUACACCAGUGUCUCUAAGAUGUCUCCAGGGUCAAAGAUGGGUGAUGGUGAAGGGAGGAAAUGAUCAAUGCUCCAAGAAUCUCAAACUGGAUUUAGGGAUCUCUCCAAGGCUCCAUAAGAGAAUAUCACAGAGAAGAUGUUAAGGGAAGGGAAUUGGGAAGAGCUACACACCAGGAGGUUCUUCCUAUGGCAUUGACAACUAGAAAUAAUAUACUUUCUACUGCAUCUUUUCAUGAAUAGCUAUUGGGAGUUUUAGCCAUACUUGGAUCUUCAAAGUAAGUCCACAGCUCCUCACUUAAGAACUGGAAGGUAUGAGAUGUCAGGAUGUUUCAGGAAACCAAGUGUGCCAUCUGCAAGAAGAAAAUUAUAGCUCCAAGGAGAGAUGAGCCCUGCCUUCAAGUCAUGAAGAAUAUUUUGGAUGAAGCAUCUGCAGAGGGCCCGGAAGACUCACUGGGUAAAGCUGGAGGGACAGCUCUAGGAAUAACUGGAAAUGGAUGAUACCACCUUUCUUAGUGUAUGGUAUGGGAAAAAUGGUUCUAUCCUCUCUAUACUACCAUUCCUAACGUCAUUCAUGCCUUGUGCAUGUAUCCCUCAUUAGUUGAUAGUCACUGGUUUGUGCGAUUUAACAUGAAGAUGUACUUUCAAAAAGUAGUUUAUUCUGAUUUAUAGAUUAGAAUUUCUGUUUUCUUAAUACAUUCAAUAAAAAUAUGACCGACUGCA